UACGGAGGGUGCAAGCGUUAAUCGGAAUGACUGGGCGUAAAGCGCACGCAGGCGGUUUGUUAAGUUGGAUGUGAAAUCCCCGGGCUUAACCUGGGAACUGCAUUCAAAACUGGCAAGCUAGAGUCUCGUAGAGGGGGGUAGAAUUCCAGGUGUAGCGGUGAAAUGCGUAGAGAUCUGGAGGAAUACCGGUGGCGAAGGCGGCCCCCUGGACGAAGACUGACGCUCAGGUGCGAAAGCGUGGGGAGCAAACAGG
rnacentral:rRNA from 1 species